UUUACAUAUGUCUGGUCAGAAUUCAGAUAGUUAAUGCAAGUGUGUUCAUUUUUAUUUACAUCAAGUUUUUUUUAUUAUCAUUUUUCAGCCCGAUUACGGCUGUCAUUGUCACGGAAGAGGAGAAAGGAGUUGUGGUGGGCAGAGAAGAACACCUUGCAAAUUAUGCCUAGGAAGUGGUCAAGUUAUUAGCUACAAAGAGCUCUUGAAGUCAGAUGGACAAAUGCCAUACGUGGAAGAACAUACAGAAGUUCCAACGAAACAUCUGCUAAAGAAAAGGGCCUUAUUCAAGUAAUAUCCGUAUUCGCCUUAUUCAAGCUCAGCCACGUAUUAACAGAUUGCUAUUUACAUAGCAGGAAGUUGAAAAGGGGAAUGAAUUUGGAACUAAUCGGUCCCAUAGAAUCGUGGGAAAGAUUACGCGACCCCUCCGUGUAGAUUUCAAUAAAGAGAUAUAUAUAAACUCUUGAAAUACUUGGGGUCAAGAUCCAGCAAUCACAAAUGUAAUCAAAUAUGAAUAAUAGAUAAAGCAUGUAAUAUUAGUCUGUUUUACGC